rfam:Lysinibacillus contaminans strain DSM 25560 Scaffold1, whole genome shotgun sequence.
AAAUUUAAUAGGCAAACUUAGGGAAAUCUAAGGACGCAAAGCUAUAGGGACUAAUGUUUCAACAAACUAUGUCAGCCAGUUGCCAAA